UUUCCCUUUUUAGGCUUGUCCAGUUAGCAUCUAUAUUUUAUUGUAAUUUUUUUUUUCAAAUUACCGGAAUGUUGAAACUUUUUCAAUAAAAAGAAAACAUCGACUGCUUUGGGUUCCAGUAGCUGGAAAACCGAACAAAACAGUUUUCUGAAAGCCAAUCAGCGGUCGAUAUUUACCAUCUCAGUACCUAUUUCCGUGAAGAAGUUCAAUUGAAAGUAGGGGAAUUUCACGAUCUACUCUACAGUCAGGAUGUGCUCUCCGUGCUACUCGUGCAACUAUUCCUGCACCACGCCCUGCAAUGGUUGCUGCUCUGGAUGUUGUGGCUGCAACGGCAAUUGCGGGGGCGGAGGCUGCUCCGCCGCCUGCUUCUGCUACCCUAACUGUGGCGGAUGUGGACCCUGCUGUUAAGAACCUAUUCAGAAUAAAAUGUUGGUGCUAUAAAUAAUAAAGUUUGCAGUUAGCUGUUGAAAGGA
rnacentral:sRNA from 1 species